UACGGAGGAUCCAAGCGUUAUCCGGAUUUAUUGGGCUUAAAGGGUGCGUAGGCGGCCUGUUAAGUCCGGGGUGAAAGACGGUAGCUCAACUAUCGCAGUGCCCUUGAUACUGAUGGGCUUGAAUGGACUAGAGGUAGGCGGAAUGAGACAAGUAGCGGUGAAAUGCAUAGAUAUGUCGCAGAACACCGAUUGCGAAGGCAGCUUACUAUGGUCUUAUUGACGCUGAGGCACGAAAGCGUGGGGAUCAAACAGG
rnacentral:rRNA from 1 species